AGACUGAAUAAAAACAAGCAGUCUGCUGACAUCAUUAGAAGUCCACUUCUAAUGAUGUCAGCAGACUGCUUGUUUUUAUUCAGUCU